rnacentral:misc_RNA from 1 species
CCCAAUAUAGCAACAAGGAAAUCCAACUCAUGAUCAGUAAGAUGAUUAUCAUUCUGAUUUUCAAGCUCAACACAUGAGGAAUCCUCUUUCGUCUUACUGAAGAAAGGUAAAGAUGAGCUGAAUGAAGGGAAAUGGCCAGCAAUCAAAGACGACAUAGUUUCGAGUCCUCCACAUACAGCAAUUUGUUUACAACCAAUAGGGUUGUCAUUUGUUAAAUUCAUUAGAACCUUGACUGCAGUAAGAAGACAGUCUGCCAGGAGGCUGGAAUGUUCUUCCUCAGAGAAAAUGUUUUCUUGUGAACAAUGAUUUUCCACAUGUCUAGACUUUUGUUGGUAAUUUUCACCAUUAAUUGAUUCUUGGCUCAUUAGCUGAUAUUGACACCCAUCUUCAAGUUCUUUUGAGAUUACACUGCAAUUUCGAGAUUGAGAUUUUUUCUUUUUUCCAGAAAGCAAGUCCCACUUUGAGGGCUGAAAUUCAUCUUCAUCAAAUGCAAAAGGAUCUUGGCUAUUCUCUAAGAGUUCACACUUGGUACUUUUUGUACAAUUAGUUCUCUCAGGAAGC